CCCUAAUUAGCUCAGUUGGUAGACCGCUCCACUGGAAAUGGAAAGGUGCCUGGUUCAAUGCCAGGACCAGGCG
rnacentral:tRNA from 1 species